CUUAGCCGCAAAUAGAGUGCAACCCACAUUUCUGUGUGACUAUCGCUGACAGCAAAAUGGGGUGCAACUGCAUUCAGCCCUCAGGACAUGAAACAAGCUUGUUUUAGGCUAUGCCAACUUCACAAGUGUGAGGCGAUCGAUCCUCAGAAAAACGUUGAAUGAAGCUGUUCCUCAAAGGUCGCCUCCCCUGUGCAAGAUUCUGAAAUGUUGAACUGGCAUUUUCCAAAGGCAGCCGCAAGUGGCACAGGGCCAGGAGCAGUCAGUUAAAUCCGAAGACUCUUUCUUUGCGGAGCAUGGGAGCUUCUUCUGGAGAAGCCUCUGGAGACUCACCUCCUUGGAAUCCUGAGGGAGGGCUGGAGGUAUCUAUCAGGGAGCUUCCACAUGGGCUCCUAAGAAGCCCGAGGAAUGUCCAGGAAGCUGCUGGCUGCUUCUUGCAAGGCUGGGUUGCACUGUGUGCAGAGUCUUUCAACAAGCUCUUGAGAUUGCCCAGGGACGGGCCCAGCAUCUGACCGGUCAGAGAAGAUUUUCCUUCACCACUGACAGCACGGCCA